AGAGUUUGAUCCUGGCUCAGGAUGAACGCUGGCGGCGUGCUUAACACAUGCAAGUCGAACGAACCUUCGGGUUAGUGGCGGACGGGUGAGUAACGCGUGGGAAUCUGCCCUCAGGAGGGGGAUAACGGCUGGAAACGGCCGCUAAUACCCCAUAUGCCGAGAGGUGAAAAGAAAUUCGCCUGAGGAUGAGCCCGCGUCUGAUUAGCUAGUUGGUGGGGUAAGAGCUCACCAAGGCGACGAUCAGUAGCUGGUCUGAGAGGAUGAUCAGCCACACUGGGACUGAGACACGGCCCAGACUCCUACGGGAGGCAGCAGUGGGGAAUUUUCCGCAAUGGGCGAAAGCCUGACGGAGCAACGCCGCGUGAGGGAUGAAGGCCUCUGGGCUGUAAACCUCUUUUCUCAAGGAAGAAGACAUGACGGUACUUGAGGAAUAAGCCACGGCUAAUUCCGUGCCAGCAGCCGCGGUAAUACGGGAGUGGCAAGCGUUAUCCGGAAUUAUUGGGCGUAAAGCGUCCGCAGGCGGCCCUGUAAGUCUGUCGUUAAAGCGUGGAGCUUAACUCCAUUUAAGCGAUGGAAACUACAGGGCUUGAGUGUGGUAGGGGCAGAGGGAAUUCCCGGUUUAGCGGUGAAAUGCGUAGAUAUCGGGAAGAACACCAGUGGCGAAGGCGCUCUGCUGGGCCAUAACUGACGCUCAUGGACGAAAGCCAGGGGAGCGAAAGGGAUUAGAUACCCCUGUAGUCCUGGCCGUAAACGAUGAACACUAGGUGUCGGGGGAAUCGACCCCCUCGGUGUCGUAGCCAACGCGUUAAGUGUUCCGCCUGGGGAGUACGCACGCAAGUGUGAAACUCAAAGGAAUUGACGGGGGCCCGCACAAGCGGUGGAGUAUGUGGUUUAAUUCGAUGCAACGCGAAGAACCUUACCAGGGUUUGACAUCCUGCGAAUCCCUUGGAAACGAGGGAGUGCCUUCGGGAGCGCAGAGACAGGUGGUGCAUGGCUGUCGUCAGCUCGUGUCGUGAGAUGUUGGGUUAAGUCCCGCAACGAGCGCAACCCACGUCUUUAGUUGCCAGCAUUCAGUUGGGCACUCUAGAGAGACCGCCGGUGAUAAACCGGAGGAAGGUGUGGAUGACGUCAAGUCAUCAUGCCCCUUACAUCCUGGGCUACAUACGUACUACAAUGCUACGGACAAAGGGCAGCAAGCUCGCGAGAGUUAGCAAAUCCCAUAAACCGUGGCUCAGUUCAGAUCGUAGGCUGCAACUCGCCUACGUGAAGGAGGAAUCGCUAGUAAUCGCAGGUCAGCAUACUGCGGUGAAUACGUUCCCGGGCCUUGUACACACCGCCCGUCACACCAUGGAAGUUGGCCAUGCCCGAAGUCGUUACUCCAACCC
rnacentral:rRNA from 1 species